ensembl:lncRNA
UGCAAAUUAAAGUUGAUUACAACUAAUUAAGGGCUUUCUUUGUUAUUUGACCUUGUCUGCUUUUUAUGUAAAUAUGUUUCUUUUGGUCUGGCAUAUUUUUAGACUCAGAAAAGUAUAUUAAGACAAGUUACAUUAUGUAUUUUUAAUAUAUUUUUGCGUGGUGUAAAAGGCCCCUUGCUAUUGUUCGAGAGCCCGGCUCCGCACGGGGAUGCUCGGAGCGGCGGUGCGCAGACACGCGCGUGGGGCGGCCGCAGGACAGUGCUGUGUGAUGGACCAGCAGUAGAGCUGUGGCAGCGGGCAACAAUCACACUUCCAAGGCCCUCCAAUGGUUUAAUGAAAAAUGAUCCAAAAAAAAGAAUCCGCUGCUGAAGUAUAAACAGCCUUCAUGCCAGAGCGGCCUUUGUUCCACCACUUAUUGAACUGGAUAAGCCUUAGUUUAGAGACUUCAGACGCAGCCAAGUAAUAAAAGAUUUGUCCCAACUUGCCGGGCACUUGGCAGGACUUAAUCAGCGUUGAGCUCAGGAUAAAAAGCUGUGACACGGCAGCACAGCCGUCUCGGGUGCAUCAGCCUCCGGGUGGACCUCGUGCCUGCCAGCAGCGGAGAAGGCUGACAUUGGGUGAAAUGAAAAAAAAAACUUCCAAAGAAAACUUGGCCGCCUGAUAUCUGAGGCAUCCAAACCCAAGGAGGAAGCAGGAUCUUCCCACGUAACCCCCACAGCCAGCCAAAACCCCAUCAUCUUUAAAGGCCAGAUCCCGAGUACCUGACGCAAAGCGCUGGAUGGGAAGUCACACACUGCCGGUGACGGGCAUGACUUAUUCAGCAACUAUUUGAGAACGUAAUUUGAAGAACUGAAGAAGUUGGUGAUUUGUUCCCUCACAAUAGGACCACAAGGUGCAAUUCAGCGAGUGACUUAUUACAAUGAAUUUCCGAGGGCUGUGACAGGGACAUUUUGCUCAAUGCUCUGCUGCUGGCGGGAGCUGAAAAAUGGAAAUCAGAACAGGCAAAACACGUCCCUACCACAUGGGGCGAAGUCAGAUCCCAGUCACCCUCCCUUCUGGAUGAUACACUGGUGCUGAAGGCGGGAACGGAGCGACUGCAGUGAGAGUAUGGAGGGGACACAGUGCCCUGCCAACACGCCUACUUAACGGGUGGCAUCAAGGAAAUGUCCCAGAAAGUAAGUUUUUGUUUUAACAUUUAACAUUUAACAUUUCCCGGUGAAGAAAAAAAAGUUCUAAGAGAAACAUCAUUUCCUCCCCUUAGCCUAAUAGUGAGCAUUUUCACGUCAGGGUUGGGAACUCAAGGCAUUCAGACUAGGCGAGGCUAC